CGCUUGCACCGAAUCCAGCAGUCGUCUUCAGGAAUCCGCGUCUGCGCAUGAUCGUGUAUCGACACCCUUCAAGCAGCUGCUCGUCCCCCCCGGAUCGGAUGGUCUGAUACGGGAUUCGUAUCAUCUAUGGACUGAGUCACCUGACGUGCGCGACUUGGACUCUUGGGAGCCCAUCCGCGCAUGGUGUGCUACCUCAGUGUCACCAGCUGGCCACUUCUGGCCUGCUAUAAAGCCGACAGCGAAUGCUACGCUCUUCAGUGGGUCUUGCGGUGGCACAAUGUGCACUUGGUUCAAGCUUGUCUGCACUGUCUUACAGUUUCUUUUCACGGGCCGUAGGAUCUGGAUAUUCGCAUCAUCUCAACCUGCAGUCUAUCAUGGCUCUAAUGCGACAUGCAUCUUUUAUAGAACGAGGAACCUAACUAAAACUAGCGUCACCUUGCGCUACCAGUUCGUCGCGAACAUGACAGUGCAAAGAAAGACGGUGCAGGCUCAAUUGCUAAAGGACUACCUUCCCAGCAUGAACAUGACCGACUGGAAUGAUAUUAACGUCAUAAAAAAGUUCCGGUACUAUAAUAGAUAUCUCUGGUGUGCAAUUUUUUUGGUGUCCAUGGAAGACGAC